AUGCUCCGGCUCCGUCGCAGCCUCCUCUCCCAGAUCCUCUCGUCUUCCCCCGCCUCUCCCAUCUCCCACCUCAGCCGCCUCAUCUCCGCCGCCGCGCCCGCCGUCUCCCCGAACCCUAGCUUCGCGGUGGAGGACUACCUCGUCUCCACCUGCGGCCUCACCCGACCCCAGGCCCUCAAGGCCUCGGCCAAGCUCUCCCACCUCAAGUCCCCUUCCAAGCCCGACGCCGUCCUCGCCUUCCUCGCCGGCCUCGGCCUCUCCGCCGCCGACGUCGCCGCCCUCGUAGUCAACGACCCGCUGUUCCUCUGCGCCAAAGUGGAGAAAACUCUGGCCCCCAUCGUCAUCGGGCUCACCGCUCUCGGUCUGUCGCAUUCUGAGAUCGCCCGCCUAGUCUCGCUCAGUCGCGCCCGCUUCCGCAGUAGAUCCAUCCUCUCCAAGCUGCACUACUACCUGCCUCUCUUCGACUCCUCCGAGGACCUCUUCCGGGUGCUCAAGCGCGGCGCUGGCAUUCUCUCGGCCGACCUCGAGCGGGUGGUCAAGCCCAAUGCCGCCUUCCUUCGGGAGUGCGGGCUAAGUGAUUGCGACAUUGUCAAGUUGUGCAUCGUUCAGCCAUGGCUGCUCCCCUCCAGCAUGGAGCGCAUCCGGGCAAUGGCGGCACACGCUGAAGGUAUUGGUGUGCCUCGUGGCUGUAAGAUGUUCAGACACGCGUUGCAUGCUGUUGCGCGCCUCAGCAAGGAGAAGAUCGCCAACCAAGUGGAGCACUUGAAGAAGACAUUUAUGUGGUCAGAUGCUGAGGUCGGCGUUGUUGUCUCCAAGCAUCCAUCUGUGCUGAUAAGGUCUAACCAGAUGCUGCAGAGCAAGUCAGAGUUCCUCAUCUCUGAGGUCGGGCUGGAACCGACAUACAUUGCUCAUCGUCCGGCAUUGCUCACGUACAGCCUGGAAGUCCGACUCAGACCCCGGCACUACGUCGUAAAGUUUCUCAAGGAAAGCGGAUUGCUGGAUCGCGGCCGGGACUAUUAUAGAGCAGUCAUGAUCAGUGAGAAAGAAUUUGUGGAGAAGUUCAUAUGCCCUCACAAGGAAGCUGCACCACACCUUGCUGAAGACUAUGCAGCAGCUUGCAGAGGGGAAGUGCCUUCCAGUUUCAGAUUUACAUAA
rnacentral:rRNA from 1 species